AAAAAGAAUACAAUACAAUCUAAAUCUGUUUUUUAGACUUCCCUUUAUCUUCAGGAACUGUGUUUCUGAUCCUCAUCUCUCUUCUUGUCUACUUCUGACCACAAAUUAUUCUUCUCUUCUUGUUUGUGCUCCAAAGCAAUCUCCUCGGUCCUGAUCUGUUGACCACUGACACAAAAUGGUGGUGAAACAAAAUGGCGGCACAUCCAGAAAAAAGUUCAUAAAGUCAGAAAUGCCUGUAUUGCUGUCAUAUCGAGAUCUUGCACUUAGUAACAAAGUAGCCAAUUCAGAGAGCAGAAAGUCAGUGGUGAUCUAUGCAGCCAGGGUGGUGAAUGAGCUUUGAGAAAGAGACCGCUUCCCAUAUAACAGAGAUUACACAGGAUGCCUCGAGGGCACCUUUCGAGCUUUAUAUAUUAAUAUAACCCACACAGGGACAGCCCAAGACAUUGUGCUGCCUGGGUCCAAG